CCUACGGGUGGCAGCAGUGGGGAAUAUUGGACAAUGGGGGGAACCCUGAUCCAGCCAUGCCGCGUGUGUGAAGAAGGCCCUCGGGUUGUAAAGCACUUUCAGUGAGGAAGAACGCCUGGUGGUUAAUACCCAUCAGGAAAGACAUCACUCACAGAAGAAGCACCGGCUAACUCCGUGUCAGCAGCCGCGGUAAUACGGAGGGUGCGAGCGUUAAUCGGAAUUACUGGGCGUAAAGCGCGCGUAGGUGGCUUGAUAAGCCGGUUGUGAAAGCCCCGGGCUCAACCUGGGAACGGCAUCCGGAACUGUCAAGCUAGAGUGCAGGAGAGGAAGGUAGAAUUCCCGGUGUAGCGGUGAAAUGCGUAGACAUCGGGAGGAAUACCAGUGGCGAAGGCGGCCUUCUGGACUGACACUGACACUGAGGUGCGAAAGCGUGGGUAGCAAACAGGAUUAGAUACCCGAGUAGUC
rnacentral:rRNA from 1 species